CCUACGGGAGGCAGCAGGGAGGAAUAUUGGUCAAUGGGCGCGAGCCUGAACCAGCCAAGUAGCGGGAAGGAUGACUGCCCUACGGGUGGUAAACUUCUGUUAUAAAGGAAUAAAGUGAGGCACGUGUGCCUUUUUGUAUGUACGUUAUGAAAAAGGAUCGGCUAACUCCGUGCCAGCAGCCGCGGUAAUACGGAGGAUCCGAGCGUUAUCCGGAUUUAUUGGGUUUAAAGGGAGCGUAGAUGGGUUGUUAAGUCAGUUGUGAAAGUUUGCGGCUCCACCGUAAAAUUGCCAUUGAUACUGGCAGUCUUGCGUCCAGUUGCGCUAGGCGGAAUUCGUGGUGUAGCGGU
rnacentral:rRNA from 1 species